GCAUAGCUACAACCACUCAGAACAGGUCAAAGCAUGCUCGGGACAAGGGCCCGACCGCCUGUGAUGGUGAGUCUAAGUAUAAGG
rfam:Leuconostoc mesenteroides subsp. mesenteroides ATCC 8293, complete genome.